CGAGUUGGCCAGACAAUCGCUGCCGUUUGACUUCGGUUAAAUGGGGGAGGAAAGUCCGGGCUCCAAUGAGCAGGGUGCCAGAUAACGUCUGGGGGGCGCAAGCCCACGACAAGUGCAGCAGAGAGAAGACCGCCUAAGUAUCCUAGAUACCGGUAAGGGUGAAAGGGUGCGGUAAGAGCGCACCGGGCCGCUGGUAACAGUUGGCUGCAGGGUAAACUCCACCCGGAGCAAGACCAAAUAGGGUUCUACGAUUCUUCGGAAUUAAUGCGUGGCUCGCGCGAGAACCGGGUAGGUUGCUUGAGCUAUAGAGCGAUUUAUAGCCUAGACGAAUGAUUGUCACUUUUUUCAUUUCGAUGAUUGAAGAACAGAACCCGGCUUAUGCGGCCAACUCACAUA
rnacentral:RNase_P_RNA from 1 species